rnacentral:rRNA from 1 species
AACGAACGCUGGCGGCAGGCUUAACACAUGCAAGUCGAACGCCCCGCAAGGGGAGUGGCAGACGGGUGAGUAACGCGUGGGAAUCUACCUAGUUCUACGGAACAACAGUUGGAAACGACUGCUAAUACCGUAUACGCCCUAUGGGGGAAAGAUUUAUCGGAAUUAGAUGAGCCCGCGUAAGAUUAGCUAAUUGGUGAGGUAAUGGCUCACCAAGGCGACGAUCUUUAGCUGGUCUGAGAGGAUGAUCAGCCACACUGGGACUGAGACACGGCCCAGACUCCUACGGGAGGCAGCAGUGGGGAAUAUUGGACAAUGGGCGCAAGCUUGAUCCAGCCAUGCCGCGUGAGUGAUGAAGGCCUUAGGGUUGUAAAGCUCUUUCAGUAGGGAAGAUAAUGACGGUACCUACAGAAGAAGCCCCGGCUAACUUCGUGCCAGCAGCCGCGGUAAGAC